AACGCACCUUGCGCUCCUUGGUAUUCCGAGGAGCAUGCCUGUUUGAGUGUCAUUAAAUUCUCAACCUCAUUUAGCUUUUUGUUGAAUGAGGGUUGGAUUGUGGGGGUUAUGCGGGCUUUUCAAGUCGGGCUCCCCUUAAAUGCAUUAGCGGAAAACCCUUGUGGACCGUCUUUGGUGUGAUAAUUAUCUACGCCAUCGCCGUGAAGCAGCUAUACAAUGGGAACUUCAGCUUCAAACCGUCCUUUAAAAAGGACAAUACUUAAUUGACAUUUUGACCUCAAAUCAGGUAGGACUACCCGCUGAACUUAA
rnacentral:misc_RNA from 1 species